rnacentral:tmRNA from 1 species
GGGGACGUUUAGGAUUCGACAGGGAUAGUUCGUGCUUACGUGGCGAGUCGAGGGGGUCGGCCUCGUUAAAACGCCAAAGCCAAUUAACUGGCAAAGAAAACAAUAACUUCGCACUAGCAGCUUAAUAGCGCUUUGCGGUUCCACCCUCCAUCGCCCAUGUGGUAGGAUCUGGGACUCACUCUAAGUGGGCUACGCCGGUUACCCUCCGUCUGAGGGUGAAGGAAGAGAACAAUCAGACUAGCCUCACUAAAGCCUGUCAUUGGGCCGAAGUGUUGGCGAAAUGCUAAUACAAUGACUACGCUCGUAGAAGCGUAAGUGUCGUUAUUUCUGGACGUGGGUUCGAUUCCCACCGUCUCCAUCA